UACGUAGGGGGCAAGCGUUGUCCGGAAUCAUUGGGCGUAAAGAGCGUGUAGGCGGCCAGAUAAGUCCGCUGUGAAAUCUCGAGGCUCAACUUCGAGCUGUCGGUGGAAACUGUCUGGCUAGAGUCCGGAAGAGGAGAAUGGAAUUCCUGGUGUAGCGGUGAAAUGCGCAGAUAUCAGGAGGAACACCGAUGGCGAAGGCAGCUCGCUGGGACGGUACUGACGCUGAGACGCGAAAGCGUGGGGAGCAAACAGG
rnacentral:rRNA from 1 species